GAAUGAAUAGGAGCCCGGUGAGCCACUGGGAGCUGUGCGGACACACCUGGAGAGGAGGUAUAUCAAAAUCAGCAUGGCUGGGACACAGAGAGGGGCCAAUCUUAGCCAACCCGAGCUGAUUUCCCGCAUCUGCCUGCUCCAUCAUCCACGUCAGCAGGACCACACUCCUGGUAUUUCUGGAUGCGGCAGUCAGAUCCCAAGUUCUCAAAGAAACAGAGACCAUUAUGAGCCAUCUGGAUGCCUACAGCGUUCAUUCCGAGCCCUUUUGAGGAUUUGUUUCCGCACAUGGUUUCGGAGACUUCUGCUGGUAGUCGCCUCACUCCAAAGGCUUGGGCAGGAUACCACGGUGAUAGGUUCCUGGGCGAAGACUUCGUGUUCACUUUAUGGCCAGCCAGGAAGUAGAAUGGGUGACAGCUACCAGAGACUUUUCCUGACUGGCCCACUUCCUCCUGCCAGGUCCUCAAAGAGUGUCACAGGCUGAUGACCUAAAGCUCAAAACAAUUCAAAACAGUGUGACACUUCGGAUGUCAGAAAAGAGACAUUUGUAUACACUCAACUGGAUCACCAAACCAGUCCAAGGUCAUGGAAUGUUCAAGAAGAAACGAGAAAUCAAGCCAUUCUAUCUAUCACAGGAGGAAAUGGUUCCUUUCAUCCCAAGCUCACAAAGUGGACCCUAGGGAGAAACAGGAAGUUGCAGCCAAGCUCAGAGCUUCCCCUGCUGGGAAGGGACCAAGCUCGCUCACCACAGCCUGUUCAGGAGUGGAGCAAUGUCUGACAUGUGGUGCAUGCUCCAUCAGGACACACUAUCUAUUAUUUUAUCAUUAGCAGCAACGUUUCCAUCUCCACCAGCGUCACCACCAUCAUUGGCAUCUCCAUCAUCACCUUCCUGGGUGUCUCCCGGGUGUCUGAAGCCUUGCCUUCUGCUUCCGGGGAGGUUAGGGGGAAACCUAGACUCACCCAGGAGUAAAGAUCAACUUUAGAAAUGAGUCAGAGAAGUUGUUUGGAAGUGAAGGGACUCAGACAUCAGGACACGUGACAGUCCCAGGAAAGACAGGUCAUCAGGUGAGGACUUAGAUGAUGUGGACCUAGGACUUUGACAGUAGCAUCCAUGCUGGGGUUGUCUGAAUUCAACCCACCCAAUGCCAGUGGGGUGGUCCAGGUUCUGGGAACAAAGCCCAACAGGACCCUGUAAAAGAGGGACAUGGCUACUGCACUUGGGAACAAAGGCCUCCUGGAGCAUGUAAAUGAGGGUGCGUGGCCACAGCAGUCUCCUUUCUCAGAGGUUCUGAGAAUCCACCACUGGGAUGCUGGUAUCCCUGGGUAUGUGCUGGCUGUCGAGGAGGCUCCCACAUGAGCACAUACGGGCAGAUCAAGUGUGAGCACAUGAAAACCCAGAGGUUGAGGGUGCAUUCCUUGUUGUCAAGAACUGUCCCAGCUUCAGUUCCAAGUCUCAGUCCUGGGAAACAUCAGGACCUGGUGACCUGGAACAGCUGGUCUCCCUCAGUCUAUCUUUUAGAGAAAACAGGUAUUAAACAGUCAGACUUGAAAGCUUUCAAAAAUAACCAUUUACUUUCAACAUAAAAAUAUGUGAGAGCGAGUCAGUUCUGUCAGAAAAGCUCAAACUGUUAUUGGAAAACAAACAAACGAAAAAGUCACAAAAUCUUUUCAUCAAACUGUUGCUAUGUCAACAUAGGACUUUUAAGGUAUAUAUGUAUUUCUAUUUCAUGUGCAAGUGCUUCCCUGUGGGCAUAGAGCCUACAGAGGCCAGAAGAGGGCACUGAAUCCCCUGGAAGUGGUGUUACAGACAGUCAUGAGCUUUCAAGGAUGCUGGCAACUUAACCCAGGUCCUCUGGAAGAGCAGCCAGUACCCUGAACUGUGGAAUCAUCUCUCCAGCCACAAUAGUGUUUUAAAUGAAUACUCUUCCAAUCUCUUGCCAUUCACUAGAUGUUUCUGUCAGGGUUUCUAUUUCUG